rnacentral:rRNA from 1 species
AAAUCUCUAGUGUGUAAAAGCUAAGUGAAUCAUAGAAUUUUUUAAAAUUCAUGAUGUCGUAAGGGAAAAUAAUGAUAAUACCUUACUAUGAGUGUCGUCCAAAUCUGGUGCCAGAAGACUCGGUAAGACCAGAGACGCAAACGUUAAUCAUCAUAAACAGGCGUAAAGGGUUUGUAGGCAGCUUUCACCAAACUAUGAUUACAAAAUAAAGUAGUUUAAUUGAAAGCUAGAAUCAAAAAGAGGUUAUAGUGUAUAACGCCUAGAGGAGGGCUGAUAUCCAUAGAUCCUAGGCAGAAUACUCAGGGCGAAGGCCACUCUCCACUACUGAUUGACGCUGAGAAACGAAGGUUAGGGUAGGAAAUAGGAUUAGAUACCCCGGUACUCCUUUCUGUAAACGAUGAAUGGUAGUCAUUAGUUUUAUAACUAGAGACGAAGUUAACACAAUAACCAUUCCGCCUUGUGAGUACUACUGCAAAGUAGAAAACAAAAAAAUUAGUCGGUCUCGAAGCAAACGGAGUGAAGCAUGUUAUUUAAUUCGUAAUCCCGCA